AAGGGAGNACCUAAUUCAGGUAUGGGACGAAAAAAAAGUAGUCCCAACCAAGAAUCAAUCCCAAAAGGUCGGAGCGAGGUAUGAGGCUUUCAAACUAGGUUCUGGGUUCAUAAAAGACCUGAAUCAGGAACAAGGGCUAUUAGCUCAGGUGGUUAGAGCGCACCCCUGAUAAGGGUGAGGUCCCUGGUUCGAGUCCAGGAUGGCCCACCUGCACAGGUGGCAAAAACAAGAGAAGCUCCGAAUCAGCACCUUAUCUUACUUAUAUAGUAAGAGAGAAUGCUGGCUCUGAGUAAAGAGUCCAGAGGAACCUUGAAAACUGCAUAGAGCUAGGUGAAAAAGCCAAAAAAGAAGACCGCAA
rnacentral:tRNA from 1 species